rnacentral:rRNA from 1 species
UACGUAGGGGGCAAGCGUUACUCGGAUUCACUGGGCGUAAAGCGCGUGUAGGCGGCUGGUCAAGCGUGGUGUGAAAUCUCCGGGCUCAACCCGGAACUGCACCGCGAACUGGCCUGGCUGGAGUGCAGGAGAGGGAAGGGAAUUCCCGGUGUAGCGGUGAAAUGCGUAGAUAUCUGGAGGAACACCGGUGGCGAAGGCGGCAUCCUGGACCAACACUGACACUGAGGAGCGAAAGCCAGGGGAGCAAACGGG